rnacentral:rRNA from 1 species
AGGAUGAAUGCUGGCGGCGCGCCUAACACAUGCAAGUCGAGCGGAAAGGCCCUUCGGGGUACUCGAGCGGCGGACGGCUGAGUAACGCGUGGGAACAUGCCCCAAAGUGAGGAAUAACUGCCCGAAAGGGUAGCUAAUGCCGCAUAUGAUCUUAGGAUUAAAGGAUUUAUCCGCUUUGGGAGUGGCCCGCGUACGAUUAGGUAGUUGGUGAGGUAAAGGCUCACCAAGCCCACGAUCGUUAACUGGUCUGAGAGGAUGAUCAGUCAGACUGGAACUGAGACACGGUCCAGACUCCUACGGGAGGCAGCAGUGAGGAAUCUUCCACAAUGGGC